CAAUAGCGUAUAUUAAAGUUGUUGCAGUUAAAAAGCUCGUAGUUGGAUUUCGGGGCCCCGGACGCUCGUUGCGUUGUCUGCUGGACUUGUCCUGUGGGCGCGUGGCGGUCGUCGGUCUCUGAGUCGGAUCGGUCCGCCGAGAGGCGUGCACUGACCGACGGCCCCUGUUGUCUCUCGGGUUGCCCGCCUACACUUAACUGUUGCGGACGGGGAGUUCGGGACGUUUACUUUGAACAAAUUAGAGUGUUCCAAGCAGGCCGUUUGCUUUGAAUACAUUAGCAUGGAAUAAUGGAAUAGGGCUGCGUGGCCUGUCGUCUGACGGCGGGUCCUCGUGUCCUAUUUUGUUGGUUUUCGGGACCGCAGUCAUGGUCAAGAGGGACAGUUGGGGGCAUUCGUAUUCAGUUGUCAGAGGUGAAAUUCUUGGAUUUACGGAAGACGAACAACUGCGAAAGCAUUUGCCAAGGAUGUUUUCAUUAA
rnacentral:rRNA from 1 species